rnacentral:rRNA from 1 species
AUUGAACGCUGGCGGCAGGCCUAACACAUGCAAGUCGAGCGCGAAAGUCUUCGGAUGAGUAAAGCGGCGGACGGGUGAGUAAUGCAUGGGAAUCUGCCUGGUAGUGGGGGACAACGUUUCGAAAGAGACGCUAAUACCGCAUACGCCCUACGGGGGAAAGGGGGGGAUCUUCGGACCUCUCGCUAUCAGAUGAGCCCAUGUCAGAUUAGCUAGUUGGUAGGGUAAAGGCCUACCAAGGCGACGAUCUGUAACUGGUCUGAGAGGAUGAUCAGUCACACUGGAACUGGGACACGGUCCAGACUCCUACGGGAGGGAGCAGUGGGGAAUAUUGGACAAUGGGGGAAACCCUGAUUCAGCCAUGCCGCGUGUGUGAAGAAGGCCCUAGGGUUGUAAAGCACUUUCAGUGGGGAGAAAGGUUAUUCACCUAAUACGUGAGUAAAUUGAUGCUACCCACAGAAGAAGCACCGGCUAACUCCGUGCCAGCAGCCGCGGUAA